UACGUAGGGUGCGAGCGUUUAAUCGGAAUUACUGGGCGUAAAGCGUGCGCAGGCGGCGCGUUAAGACAGGUGUGAAAGCCCCGAGCUUAACUUGGGAAUUGCGCUUGUGACUGGCGAGCUGGAGUGUGGCAGAGGGAGGUGGAAUUCCACGUGUAGCAGUGAAAUGCGUAGAGAUGUGGAGGAACACCGAUGGCGAAGGCAGCCUCCUGGGCCAGCACUGACGCUCAUGCACGAAAGCGUGGGGAGCAAACAGG
rnacentral:rRNA from 1 species